rnacentral:rRNA from 1 species
UACGUAGGGUGCAAGCGUUGUCCGGAAUUAUUGGGCGUAAAGAGCUCGUAGGCGGUUUGUUGCGUCGGCUGUGAAAUCCCGAGGCUCAACCUCGGGUCUGCAGUCGAUACGAGCAAACUAGAGUGUUGCAGGGGAGACUGGAAUUCCUGGUGUAGCGGUGAAAUGCGCAGAUAUCAGGAGGAACACCGGUGGCGAAGGCGGCCCUCUGGACCGGUACUGACGCUGAUGACGGCGAAAGCGUGGGGAGCAAACGGG